GACGAACGCUGGCGGCGUGCUUAACACAUGCAAGUCGAACGGGAUUUAGUAAACAGAAACCUCGGUGGAAGAUUACUAAUGAGAGUGGCGAACGGGUGAGUAACGCGUGAGCAACCUGCCUAUGACAGUGGGAUAGCCUCGGGAAACCGGGAUUAAUACCGCAUAAAAUCGUAGAAACACAUGUUUUAACGGUCAAAGAUUUAUCGGUCAUAGAUGGGCUCGCGUCUGAUUAGCUAGUUGGUGAGAUAACAGCCCACCAAGGCGACGAUCAGUAGCCGGUCUGGGAGGAUGAACGGCCACAUUGGAACUGAGACCCGGUCCAAACUCCUACGGGAGGCAGCAGUGGGGAAUAUUGCACAAUGGGGGAAACCCUGAUGCAGCGACGCCGCGUGAACGAAGAAGGUAUUCGUAUCGUAAAGUUCUGUCCUAUGGGAAGAUAAUGACAGUACCAUAGAAGAAAGCUCCGGCUAACUACGUG
rnacentral:rRNA from 1 species